UACGUAGGGUGCGAGCGUUAAUCGGAAUUACUGGGCGUAAAGCGUGCGCAGGCGGUUUGUUAAGUCCGCUGUGAAAUCCCCGGGCUCAACCUGGGAAUGGCGGUGGAAACUGGCGAGCUAGAGUGUGUCAGAGGGGGGUGGAAUUCCACGUGUAGCAGUGAAAUGCGUAGAGAUGUGGAGGAACACCAAUGGCGAAGGCAGCCCCUGGGAUAACACUGACGCUCAUGCACGAAAGCGUGGGAGCAAACAGG
rnacentral:rRNA from 1 species